ACUGGCUGUCAAAAUUGGCGAUCGAACAAAAAAUCGGAAUAGAAACGCCGCACGGACAAGCAGCAACAAUUCCUGCCUUCCGCUACAGUUGCCGGUGUAAAUUCUGAAAGUGGGUUAGAAAAGUUAAUAAAUGUACGAUAACAAGGAUAAUAUAGCAGACAAAACUCAAACUAGCCUUGUGUUUUGUGCCUCGCAACACUUCGGAGGACCUACUUGAUAGUUUGCCAGAGAAUGGAUAAUCGAAUAAUUAUGGCCAACAACACAUUCUCAGCCAACGAUGAUGUCCUUAACAUCAAGGGCACCGAGGAAAAUGAUGUAAAGAUCGACAUGGAUUGUCUAUCUCAGGAACAAAAAAACAUGAGUGCCAAAUGCUGUGGUCAACCAGAGAACAAGCCGGAGCUGUGCAAUGUUGGUCUGUUUCCGAAAUAACAGAAAAAUUGCAAUGCGUUCUAAAAAAAAAAGGAAUAGUAGAAGUCCGUAAUCCUUUUUGAACGAUUUUUUACAAUUUCCGGGUCAUGAAAAUGAAAAUGCGUAAGAUUCCAUGUUUAUUUCCAGUGUGACUAGUUUUGGGGGUAUCUGAUAAGCGAUCCACAACGUCCAGCACUGAUCGAUGCGGGCAUGACAGCACAAAAUAUGUGCAAGAAAAGUAUACAAACACUGGACAGCCUUACCGAUGCACUAGUUGCGCGGGCUCCCCAGGAAAAACAAUUCUUAAAAAACGUCAGAAACGAAGAAACGCAAGAACUAAAAGAUGCGAAACAGAACGACGACUUUCCUUUUAUUAUUGCCCGGUCACAGCCCGACGAGCGCUACUCACCAAGCCGAGCCCGCGAAAUAACUGAUAUGCAAAGAAUUCCCUCCAACAAUACUUGCCUGUGUUUUUCCGUCAGUGUUCUUGUUAGUGGUGUGGUAUGGUUCUUCGUAUGGUGUGGUCUAAAAGUGCUCGACAUGGAUAAGCUUAAACAAUUUUGAUGAUACAUAUUAACGAGACAUUUUCUUGACUGUUUCUUAAGGGGAAAUGGGCUCUAUAGCACCUUUUUCGAACAAAUCCAAUGGUAAUUUCCAAUCUGACUGUCCCCAAAGAGUGCUGUAGAGUUCAAUUCCCAUCACAUCCCAUUAUGUUAGAUAUAUUGUUCAGUCAAGCGAGUUGACGAUUGCAUCACGAUACGAGAUUGAAUGCAAACAGUGCCUUACUCAUAUACACCAAGCAUGACUAUACGCUUAGAUAUAUGCAAUAAUACAGGCCCGAGUGUAUAACAUCUACAACAUACCUGUAAAACACAUAAGAAGUCAUAUUACAUUCAUCCAACUGGCAACAAUUGGCAAGGAAAACUAUAGCCUUUAUGAGCAAGUAGAUCCAGAAAAGAUCACAAGAAACACUCGGCAAUAUACCACACUCUUGUGCAUCACACAAUUAUACGAUACUUAUACUCCUAGUAAUAGUUUUAUUUAAAACGAUUCUUAGUACCAAAACUCCAAUUUGCCUGAGCGAAUAUCAAAAUUAAAAGAAUGCUCAAUGUUAUCCGAUCGUGUUCAUGUUUUCACAACGGCGCCAUAAAAUGUAUCAGGAACAUAAGUGAUAUUGCUCGCUAUUUAUUGAGCAUUUAGAUUUGCAUGUUAUGCGAAAAACUCGUAGUAAGGGAUACUCAUUAUGAUGGGGUAGACUGCAUUUUUCCUAUAGAUGCUACUGUUGAACGAUACCGUAACAGCAGAGUGUUGAAUACAAAAUUUUAUGAAAUUUUAUAUGUUAAUCAAAAUCAAGAAAAGAAUAAAAGCAACGAAAAUCUACAAAAUCAAUCAAUAACGAAUUUCCUGUUCUUAUUAUAAUUGCUACAAUACGUAAAAUAAAGACUGAAG